UGAAGUAUCCAAGUAGGAAGUUGCCCCUGGUACGAGUAUACCUUGGUUACGUGUUAGUAAAAAUAGUAACCAUGACAUACUCGUUCCUGGUGUAUACUUCUUUGCACAAGUUGAUUA
rnacentral:precursor_RNA from 15 species